UACGUAGGGGGCAAGCGUUGUCCGGAUUUAUUGGGCGUAAAGAGCGUGUAGGCGGCUUUACAGGUCCGUUGUGAAAACUCGAGGCUCAACCUCGAGACGCCGGUGGAAACCGUAAAGCUAGAGUCCGGAAGAGGAGAGUGGAAUUCCUGGUGUAGCGGUGAAAUGCGCAGAUAUCAGGAGGAACACCGGUGGCGAAGGCGGAUCUCUGGGCCUUACCUGACGCUCAGGCGCGAAAGCGUGGGGAGCAAACAGG
rnacentral:rRNA from 1 species